rnacentral:rRNA from 1 species
GGGUGAGUAACACGUGAGUAACCUGCCCUUGACUUUGGGAUAACUUCAGGACACUGGGGCUAAUACCGGAUAGGAGCUCCUGCUGCAUGGUGGGGGUUGGAAAGUUUCGGCGGUUGGGGAUGGACUCGCGGCUUAUCAGCUUGUUGGUGGGGUAGUGGCUUACCAAGGCUUUGACGGGUAGCCGGCCUGAGAGGGUGACCGGCCACAUUGGGACUGAGAUACGGCCCAGGCUCCUACGGGAGGCAGCAGUGGGGAAUAUUGCACAAUGGGCGGAAGCCUGAUGCAGCAACGCCGCGUGCGGGAUGACGGCCUUCGGGUUGUAAACCGCUUUCGCCUGUGACGAAGCGUGAGUGACGGUAAUGGGUAAAGAAGCACCGGCUAACUACGUGCCAGCAGCCGCGGUGAUACGUAUGGUGCGAGCGUUGUCCGGAUUUAUUGUGCGUAAAGGGCUCGUACGCGGUUGAUCGCGUCGGAAGUGUAAUCUUGGGGCUUAACCCUGAGCGUGCUUUCGAUACGGGUUGACUUGAGGAAGGUAGGGGAGAAUGGAAUUCCUGGUGGAGCGGUGGAAUGCGCAGAUAUCAGGAGGAACACCAGUGGCGAAGGCGGUUCUCUGGGCCUUUCCUGACGCUGAGGAGCGAAAGCGUGGGGAGCGAACAGGCUUAGAUACCCCGGUAGUCCACGCUGUAAACGGUGGGUACUAGGUGUGGGGUCCAUUCCACGGGUUCCGUGCCGUAGCUAACGCUUUAAGUACCCCGCCUGGGGAGUACGGCCGCAAGGCUAAAACUCAAAGGAAUUGACGGGGCCCCGCACAAGCGGCGGAGCAUGCGGAUUAAUUCGAUGCAACGCGUAGAACCUUACCUGGGUUUGACAUGGAUCGGGAGUGCUCAGAGAUGGGUGUGCCUCUUUUGGGGUCGGUUCACAGGUGGUGCAUGGCUGUCGUCAGCUCGUGUCGUGAGAUGUUGGGUUAAGUCCCGCAACGAGCGCAACCCUUGUUCACUGUUGCCAGCACGUUAUGGUGGGGACUCAGUGGAGACCGCCGGGGUCAACUCGGAGGAAGGUGGGGAUGACGUCAAGUCAUCAUGCCCCUUAUGUCCAGGGCUUCACGCAUGCUACAAUGGCUGGUACAGAGAGUGGCGAGCCUGUGAGGGUGAGCGAAUCUCGGAAAGCCGGUCUCAGUUCGGAUUGGGGUCUGCAACUCGACCUCAUGAAGUCGGAGUCGCUAGUAAUCGCAGAUCAGCAACGCUGCGGUGAAUACGUUCCCGGGGGCU